rnacentral:rRNA from 1 species
GACGAACGCUGGCGGCGUGCUUAACACAUGCAAGUCGAACGGAAAGGCCCUGCUUUCUUGGUGUGCUCGAUUGGCGAACGGGUGAGUAACACGUGAGUAACCUGCUCUUGACUUUGGGAUAACUUCAGGAAACUGGGGCUACUACCGUAUAGGAGCCCCUGCUGCAUGGUGGGGGUUGGAAAUUUUCGGCGGUUGGGGUUGGACUCGCGGCUUAUCAGCUUGUUGGUGGGGUAGUGGCUUACCCAGGCUUUGACGGGUACCCGGCUUGAGAGGGUGAACGGCGACAAGGGGACUGAGAGACGGAGCAGAGUCCUACGGGAGACAGCAGGGGGGAAUAUUGCACAAUGGGCGGAAGCCGGAUGCAGAAACGCCGCGUGCGGGAUGACGGCCUUCGGGGUGAAAACAGCUGUCGCCUGUGACGAAGCGGGAGUGACGGUAAUGGGUAAAGAAGCACCGGCUAACUACGUG